rnacentral:other from 1 species
GUUACAGACGAACCUUUGUGGGGUUGAAGC